AUUGAACGCUGGCGGCAGGCCUAACACAUGCAAGUCGAACGAGUGGCGGACGGGUGAGUAAUGUCUGGGAAACUGCCUGAUGGAGGGGGAUAACUACGGGAAACUGUAGCUAAUACCGCGUACCAUAGGAUGAGCCCAAGUGGGAUUAGGUAGUUGGUGAGGUAAAGGCUCACCAAGCCGACGAUCUCUAGCUGGUCUGAGAGGAUGACCCGCCACACUGGGACUGAGACACGGCCCAGACUCCUACGGGAGGCAGCAGUGGGGAAUAUGGCGCAAUGGGGGCAACCCUGACGCAGCCAUGCCGCGUGUCUGAAGAAGGCCUUCGGGUUGUAAAGCUCGUUAAUCGGGACGACGGUACCGGAAUAGAAAGCCACGGCUAACUACGUGCCAGCAGCCGCGGUAAUUC
rnacentral:rRNA from 1 species